rnacentral:misc_RNA from 1 species
UACGAAGGGGGCUAGCGUUGUUCGGAAUCACUGGGCGUAAAGCGCGCGUAGGCGGUUUAGUAAGUUGGGAGUGAAAGCCCAGGGCUUAACCCUGGAAUUGCUUCCAAAACUGCUAGACUAGAGAUAGAUAGAGGAUGGUAGAAUUCCUAGUGUAGAGGUGAAAUUCUUAGAUAUUAGGAGGAAUACCGGUGGCGAAGGCGACCAUCUGGGUCUUUUCUGACGCUGAGGUGCGAAAGCGUGGGUAGCAAACAGG